rnacentral:rRNA from 1 species
UUUAACUGAAGAGUUUGAUCAUGGCUCAGAUUGAACGCUGGCGGCAGGCUUAACACAUGCAAGUCGAGCGGGGAAAGGUAGCUUGCUACAUUUCCUAGCGGCGGACGGGUGAGUAAUGCUUAGGAAUCUGCCUAUUAGUGGGGGACAAC